rnacentral:tRNA from 1 species
GGAGAGGUGGCUGAAUUGGUUAAAGCACUUCCCUGCUAAGGAAGCGUGGGUUUCCCGCGUGCAGGUUCGACUCCUGUCCUCUCCG